GACGAACGCUGGCGGCGUGCCUAAUACAUGCAAGUUGAGCGCUGAAGGUUGGUACUUGUACCAACUGGAUGAGCAGCGAACGGGUGAGUAACGCGUGGGGAAUCUGCCUUUGAGCGGGGGACAACAUUUGGAAACGAAUGCUAAUACCGCAUAAAAACUUUAAACACAAGUUUUAAGUUUGAAAGAUGCAAUUGCAUCACUCAAAGAUGAUCCCGCGUUGUAUUAGCUAGUUGGUGAGGUAAAGGCUCACCAAGGCGAUGAUACAUAGCCGACCUGAGAGGGUGAUCGGCCACAUUGGGACUGAGACACGGCCCAAACUCCUACGGGAGGCAGCAGUAGGGAAUCGUCGGCAAUGGACGAAAGUCUGACCGAGCAACGCCGCGUGAGUGAAGAAGGUUUUCGGAUCGUAAAACUCUGUUGGUAGAGAAGAACGUUGGUGAGAGUGGAAAGCUCAGCAAGUGACGGUAACUACCCAGAAAGGGACGGCUAACUACGUG
rnacentral:rRNA from 1 species